UGCGUAGGCGGUAUGCUAAGUCAACUGUUUAAUUUCCCGGCUUAACCGGGAAUCAGCGGUAGAUACUGGCGUGCUAGAGUAUGGAAGAGAGGAAUGGAAUUCUCGGAGUAGCGGUAAAAUGCGUAGAUCUCGAGAGGAACACCAAUGGCGAAGGCAGUUCCUUGGUCCAUUACUGACGCUGAGGCACGAAAGCGUGGGGAGCAAACA
rnacentral:rRNA from 1 species